UCUUUCUGGUGCUUUUCAUCACAAGCCUAAAUCUUCAGAUACAGGCCUAGAGCAGGCAAACAGAAGUCUGUCCUAGUCUCACUUGUUCUGUGUUCCAUUAUAGAGCAGAUCUUCUCCCUACCUGUCAUUUUCAUUGCUUGCCAGGACUGUAUUCUUCUACAGAAGAAAUCUUCCAACUUUGAAAACUCUUAGUCAUAAACGGUGCUUCUAUGGUUUUUGUACGUAUGCGUGAAGGGUAUAUAAUUAUACAAUAUUUCAUUCACUCAGUGAAAGGAGCGAUUACUUGUACCUGAUCUGUUUGAAAAUAUUUGUUGUGGAGAAAACAAAGAGGAAAUGUGGCUUCCUCAUGUAGCAACUGAAUUGAUAUGCUGUUUAAGUUUCCAAAUAAAAGGAGUUAUUAUAAUGAUGUCAGACAACAUGUCAUUCACUACUGUCUUCAUGUUUUUUCUCCCCAUGUCUGUACAGCAACAGAAAAAUAGCUUGAAAUAGGA
ensembl:lncRNA